GUCAAGAUGGCCGAGUGGUUAAGGCGCCAGACUUAAGUUCUUGUCUUCGAAGAAGGCGUGGGUUCGAACCCCACUCUUGACA
rnacentral:tRNA from 1 species